UUAGGGACCAUGUCGGAAGCAGCAACAAUCCGAGGAGUUAGGGGAGCGUGUCCGCGGCGGCGGUUGGGACGGGAGCUAGCACCACGGCGGCCGCAGGGAGGACAGCGAGCACGGCGGCAGGCAGCGGCUGGGAGCGUGUCGGCGUCGGCGGACGAGAGGAGACGACGGGGUCGCGGGGCUCGUAGCGGGGCAGCUUAUCCGCGAGGGGUGCCGUCGCGGAGGAGGGACCUAGUCGGUGACUGCCGGUAGUUGCGGCCGCUGGGUUAGGUAUCCUUCCUGCUCAUAGGGAGGGUCGGGGGACGCGGCGGCAGACGGAGACUGCUAAGGUGUGCGCACAUCCGCUGUUACCUUGUUUAAGUCUGUAAGUUUCUAUAAGUAGGCAGUCUUAUAAGUCCAAACGGUACACUUCUUUUUCCUAUACACCCUCGAAAACCUACCUGUUUCCGAGGUCGUUACUUCUCUUCUCUCGACGUAAGGGAUGAACGUUAAGAUCAUUGAUAGAAACAAUAUUGAACAUCUCACAUGGGCGUUUUUUUGAACAUCUCACACUACCUAAUUAACCCUACGAUACAUUAGUCUCAUGCAUGGG
rnacentral:rRNA from 1 species